rnacentral:tRNA from 1 species
GGGCCGGUAGUGUAGCCAGGCUGCAUAGGCGCUUGAAAACCGCUAGGUCCGGGGUUCGAAUCCCCGCCGGUCCA